CAAUUCAGAGUUCGGAGCUAUGAGUUAUGCUCCUUACAAGUUUCGUGUUGCUGCUGAACUUUUUGACGCGUUGCUGUUGUGUGUUCUUUCGUGCUACGGUGCUGCUGCGUGUGUGUGUGAUUCAUGCAUAGUUGUUGUUGGUGCUUGCAACCAUCAUCUCCUUCAUCUCUUUUAUGGGGGUGAUUAUUGGAGAUUGAGUAUGAAUAAGGAGAUAUUGGACUCUCGAAGAUUUUUAUGGAGUCGAGUGCUAUUUAAAGAUGCGUAGAGAGUUCAUUGUUAGUGAUCUUGCAGGUUCGUGUGUGGAAAGCUCGGAAUGGAGUAAAAGGAAGAAUUUAGGUAUCAAGGUUAUAAUUAGAUGUAAUGGUUCAGAGGUUGUAUUUAGGGUUAUAUAACCUUAUUUGUGAAUAAAUUAUUAUAUUGCUUUAGAAGUCGAGCAAGGUAUUAUGUAAUAUGUUAUUUGGUUAA